AAAUCUUUUCCCCCAAAGAAAUUAAUUAUAACUAUAUAUUAGGGUAUAUAAAUAUACUAACUAUAUUAUUGAAAAAGUUUUACCAUAAGUUUUAUUCUUGCUUAAAAUAUUAUAUAUCUAUAUAAAUUAUAUGUUUAAUUUUUAAUUUUUAUUUUUCAGUAAUAAGUAUUAUUAAUUAUUUUUAUUUUUAUUAAGUAAUAUAGUUAUACUAGAUUAAAAUUGUGCCAGCAUUCGCGGUUAUACAAUUUAUUUAGUUUAAUAGUUUAGGUUUUAAUUAUUUAUUUUUUUGAAAAUAAAAUUAUUGAAUUUAGGUGGAAUUUAUUUUUUUAUAUAUUUUCUUUUUAAUUUUUAUUAAAUUUUAUUAAUAGACUAGGAUUAGAUACCCUAUUAUUUUUAAUUUAAAUUUUAACUAGAAUAUUAUCAGUUAUUUUCUGUAAAACUCAAAGAAUUUGGCGGUAAUUAAUUAUUUUAGGGGAAUUUGGUUUUUAAUUGAUAAACCACGAUAAAUUCUACUUUAUUUGUAUUUGUAUAUCUCUAUAAUUUGGAAUGUUAUAAUAAUAUAUUUUCUUUUUUUUUUAAAAAUUUAUAUUAGGUCAAGGUGCAGUUUUAAUAAAGUGAAUUUGAAUUACUUUAAUAUUAUAUUUUUUGGUUUUAUUUAAGUAAUAUAAUAUUAAAAUAGAAUUUAAUAGUAAAUAUAAAUUAUUAUUUAUUUUGAAUUUUAUACUAAAUUAUGUACAUAUUGCCCGUCACUCUCAUUUAAGUUGAGAUAAGUCGUAACAAAGUAACUUCACUGGAAAGUGAAGUUAGAAAGU
rnacentral:rRNA from 1 species